rnacentral:rRNA from 1 species
UUCCAGACUCCUACGGGAGGCAGCAGUGGGGAAUAUUGCACAAUGGGGGGAACCCUGAUGCAGCGACGCCGCGUGGGUGAAGGAGCGUUUCGGCGCGUAAAGCCCUAUCGGCAGGGAAGAAGGAGGACGGUACCUGACUAAGAAGCCCCGGCUAACUACGUGCCAGCAGCCGCGGUAAUACGUAGGGGGCGAGCGUUAUCCGGAUUCACUGGGUGUAAAGGGAGCGUAGACGGCCAUGCAAGCCAGGGGUGAAAGCCCGGGGCCCAACCCCGGGACUGCCCUUGGAACUGUGCGGCUAGAGUGCGGGAGGGGCAGGCGGAAUUCCUGGUGUAGCGGUGAAAUGCGUAGAUAUCAGGAGGAACACCGGCGGCGAAGGCGGCCUGCUGGACCGCGACUGACGUUGAGGCUCGAAAGCGUGGGGAGCGAACAGGAUUAGAUACCCUUGUAGU